AAUGACUUGACAACCACAUAUAUUUAUAAUUUAGGGAACUGCAAGGCAUAAUUUAGCCAAAUCAUUCAGGCACUUACAGUUAUCAUUUUUCACCAUUAAUUUGAACUCCUUCAGCCAUAUCCGUAACCUUUCAUUACCCUCAUAGGCUCAGCAUCACUGCAACCAUUAGAUUUCACUCCCAUCACGCUCAAUUACCUGUGCCACCAGCACUGCUUCCACCACACUGUUCCUUUAACCCUGGCCGUGCUUACUUUGGGCUAUUAGGCCUCUGACCUCUGCCCACCAUGACACCUGGUGUAUUUUCACACCCACAGCAGUUAAUUUGCUGUUCACUUACAUAGUGUAUUAAAGAGACCACACAAGGGAGAAACACAGUUUAUUGUUUGGAGUGGGGAUCUGAGUGAAGGUGUUUGUGCACGUUUGUAUAGGUGGAGUGGGUUUGUGUUUGAGCCCUUGAGGAUGUUUAAUAAGUUUUCGAUAGGCCCUUGGCUUCCGGAAAUUAAAAG